UGUAACAUGAACUGCACCACGCUUUCUUCUGAGAACUGCUGGGGAGUCCGCUGAGAGCACAAUCUCAGCGUUGAGGGUUCUGGUGGCCCCUGAUGGCCGGAUCCUGUGAAGAGGCCGUUUCAUUUGGCUAGAGAAGUGUUUAAAUGAAUGAAUGGAAGCGUCCUGUUGGUGGGCACACUCCACCGUGUCGGGUUGUGCUAUGUGCUUGUGUCUGUGUCACCUGCUUGACUCCCGAAGACAAACGUGUCCUGUACCUUGUAAAACGGUUGUGCUGGGUAACACUCGGUGGCCGAGCCACGCGACUGAGGGCAGCCUGUGAACCGGACGCCGUAUGGACAGCGCGGCUCGGCUCCCUGACGAGAACACAAUGGAACAACCAAAUCCAGGGUGUGUUUGGUUGCGUCACGGUGGAGACAUUUCUUAGCCUACCUGAACCUGAGGGUUUUCACCUGUAAAACACACAUCAUACCGUAGAGUGCCUUGCAUUAUACAAGAGAAGAAGUAACUUUGCCUGGGAAACACUGGACACCUAGCUGGGAAGAGCGGCGACCUUGGUUGCUAGUGUGAGUAUCUGCUCUGGUCCCGUUUCUGUUGCUUUCACAAAAGGCUUAAUAAAAAGCAGCUUGUUGGACAAAGUCUAGUUUAGCUCAGAGUUCCCGGCUACAGUCCCUCAUGAUAGGGAAGUGGGAACUUAAAACAGCUGGUCACAUGACACCCACAGAGAGCCACUAAUGCAUGUGUGUUUACUGCCCAGCUCGCUCUGUCUACUCUCAUGCAGUCCAGGACCCAAACCCUGGGACCGGUGUUGGCCACAGAGGGCAACGAUCUCUUACUGGGACUCUCUGCUGAGUGAUUUUGGAUUGUGUUAAGAAUUAUGGACUGAGCAGUGCCCUUCUCUAAACUCCUAUGUGGAAGCUCCAACCUCCAGUCCCUCAGAGUGAGACUAAAGAGGCCUUAAAGGAGUUGACUAAGGGAACACCAUGGAUGUUUUUUCAUCUAACACGUCCUUGGGAGGAGGAAUUUGGAUACAGACAGAUCCAGAGGGAAGACCAUGGAGAGACAUGUAGAGAAGACAGCUGGAGACAUCUCAGAAGACAGGACCCAGGCUACCACCUUGCAUUUUGUAACGAUUUAUUCAUUUUUUAUUUUGCGUGUGUGGGUGUUUUGUCUGCCUAUAUGUCUAAGCACCAUGCAUGUUCCUGGUACCUGUGGAGGCCGGAAGUUUUGGAUCCCAUGGAACUGGAGUUACAGGUGAUUGUUAGCUACCACGCGGGUGCCGGGAACUGAGCCUUCUAGAUGAAGCAGCCAGUGCUCGUAACCACCAGGCCACAUCUCCAGCUCCUCCUGCUGCCAUCUUGGGCCUGGACAUCCAGAACUGUGGAGAAGCAAGCUGCUGUUGUGUUACAUCCGGUCUAUGGUGUCUCACUCCAGCUGAGGGUGAGAGAACAAGAAGCAGGCCAGAGAAUGACACGCUUAGACACUAGGCUGCUGGCCGGUGAGGAGGUGGUGAGGAGAGGGAUGCCUUUCUGUGCUGUGUAGGAUCAUGGAGAUUGCAUGACCAGACCUCUGGGCUCUGCCGAAAGGAUGUAACCAAUGGUACAUCACGUUUCUGUUCCACUUGGCUUUCCCUGCCCAGUCUAUGUGUUGACAUUCAUAAAAACAAAACAACAACAAAAAUAACAGGCAAGGAUCGUGUGGAGUAAGCCCAGCAGACUGUCUUGGUCGUCAAUGGCAUUUAGGACGAUAUUGUCACUACUGGGAUGUGAGAGGAGUGAGCACGAAGCAGCCCAAGGUUUCUUGCUAGCUUUGCUUUUAAUUUGGGACAGGAAAGCUGGGGCUAGUCUCGAGUUACACACCAGGUGCUUGGUUAUGCUUCAUUAUCCACAGUUGCCGAAACAAGGAAGGGCUAGAUACCCAUCAGCACGUAGAUGGGUAAAAAAAUUGGGUACAUAUAAGCAUUCCUCUAUCUCGGAGUCAGUUUCCACAUUUUUCCCCCCAGUAAUGGACACAACAAGCCUAUGAUAAACUGCUUGGCUUACCAAUAGGGUGGCGCAAUGAAACAAAAUCAUGGGGAGUAACACGGUAGACCGGAGAGAUGGUUUAGUGGGUAAAGGAACUUGCCACCAAACCUCAUGAGACCUGAGUUGGGUCCCCGAACCCAAAUAUUGGAAGGAGAGAACCAGCUCCCGAAAGCUGUACUCUGACCUCCACCCUUGAGGGAUAGCACCCCACCCACAUAAAAAAAUAAAUGUAUU